GACCAGACUCCUACGGGAGGCAGCAGUGGGGGAUAUUGCACAAUGGGGGGAACCCUGAUGCAGCGACGCCGCGUGAAGGAAGAAGUAUCUCGGUAUGUAAAGCUCUAUCAGCAGGGAAGAAAAUGACGGUACCUGAGUAAGAAGCCCCGGCUAACUACGUGCCAGCAGCCGCGGUAAUACGUAGGGGGCAAGCGUUAUCCGGAUUUACUGGGUGUAAAGGGAGCGUAGACGGCGAUACAAGUCUGAAGUGAAAGCCCGGGGCUCAACCCCGGGACUGCUUUGGAAACUGUGUUGCUGGAGUGCUGGAGAGGCAAGCGGAAUUCCUAGUGUAGCGGUGAAAUGCGUAGAUAUUAGGAAGAACACCAGUGGCGAAGGCGGCUUGCUGGACAGUAACUGACGUUGAGGCUCGAAAGCGUGGGGAGCAAACAGGAUUAGAUACCCGGGUAUU
rnacentral:rRNA from 1 species